UAAGAAUGGAGCCCUGAGGAUGCACAGC
rnacentral:piRNA from 1 species